rnacentral:pre_miRNA from 1 species
CUGAAUGCACCCUGUAGUUUCGGGUUUGUGUUUACAUUGGGGUACAGAAGCUCGAUUCUACAGGUUCAUUUGAA